rnacentral:rRNA from 1 species
AUUGAACGCUGGCGGCAUGCCUUACACAUGCAAGUCGAACGGCAGCACGGGUGCUUGCACCUGGUGGCGAGUGGCGAACGGGUGAGUAAUACAUCGGAACAUGUCCUGUAGUGGGGGAUAGCCCGGCGAAAGCCGGAUUAAUACCGCAUACGAUCCACGGAUGAAAGCGGGGGACCUUCGGGCCUCGCGCUAUAGGGUUGGCCGAUGGCUGAUUAGCUAGUUGGUGGGGUAAAGGCCUACCAAGGCGACGAUCAGUAGCUGGUCUGAGAGGACGACCAGCCACACUGGGACUGAGACACGGCCCAGACUCCUACGGGAGGCAGCAGUGGGGAAUUUUGGACAAUGGGUGAAAGCCUGAUCCAGCAAUGCCGCGUGUGUGAAGAAGGCCUUCGGGUUGUAAAGCACUUUUGUCCGGAAAGAAAUCCUUGGCUCUAAUACAGUCGGGGGAUGACGGUACCGGAAGAAUAAGCACCGGCUAACUACGUG